rnacentral:tRNA from 1 species
GGGGGUACAGCUCAGUGGUAGAGUGCAUGCUUAGCAUGCACAAGGUCCUAGGUUCAAUCCCCAGCACCUCCU